UAGGGAGACCUUCCCCCGUGACCGACGCAGCAGAUGUCUGUUGGCACGUUGGGGACAGGUCAGCUAGGGACAGUGGGGAGCUGUACUUUCAAACCUUAGGAGUCCGGGGCAGGGGCUAUUAGCUCUGGUGGUCAGAGCGCACCCCUGAUAAGGGUGAGGUCCCUGGUUCGAGUCCAGGAUGGCCCACUGGCGGGGGUAUGGCUCAGUGGUAGAGCGCCUGCUUUGCACGCAGGAUGUCAGCGGUUCGAAUCCGCUUACCUCCACCACGUUCAUCUUCAGCACGUGAUGGGUGUGAUCACACUGCUGGAGGUGAAGGCUCCAGUACCGAACCUUGACAACUGCAUAGCGUUAGAUAGUCCUCACCGAUGGAUAAGGAACCAAGGGCUGAC
rnacentral:tRNA from 1 species